rnacentral:rRNA from 1 species
GACGAACGCUGGCGGCGUACUUAACACAUGCAAGUCGAACGGUAAGGCCCUUCGGGGUACACGAGUGGCGAACGGGUGAGUAACACGUGGGUGAUCUGCCCUGCACUUCGGGAUAAGCCUGGGAAACUGGGUCUAAUACCGGAUAGGACUCCUGGCUUCAUGGUUGGGGGUGGAAAGCUUUUGCGGUGUGGGAUGGGCCCGCGGCCUAUCAGCUUGUUGGUGGGGUAAUGGCCUACCAAGGCGACGACGGGUAGCCGGCCUGAGAGGGUGACCGGUCACACUGGGACUGAGAUACGGCCCAGAAUCCUACGGGAGGCAGCAGUGGGGAAUAUUGCACAAUGGGCGCAAGCCUGAUGCAGCGACGCCGCGUGAGGGAUGACGGCCUUCGGGUUGUAAACCUCUUUCAGCUAUGACGAAGCGCAAGUGACGGUAGUAGCAGAAGAAGGACCGGCCAACUACGUGCCAGCAGCCGCCGUAA